rnacentral:rRNA from 1 species
GACGAACGCUGGCGGCGUGCUUAACACAUGCAAGUCGAACGGAAAGGCCUCUUUCGGGGGGUACUCGAGUGGCGAACGGGUGAGUAACACGUGAGUAACCUGCCCUUGACUUUGGGAUAACUUCAGGAAACUGGGGCUAAUACCGGAUAGGAGCUCCUGCUGCAUGGUGGGGGUUGGAAAGUUUCGGCGGUUGGGGAUGGACUCGCGGCUUAUCAGCUUGUUGGUGGGGUAGUGGCUUACCAAGGCUUUGACGGGCAGCCGGCCUGAGAGGGUGACCGGCCACAUUGGGACUGAGAUACGGCCCAGACUCCUACGGGAGGCAGCAGUGGGGAAUAUUGCACAAUGGGUGGGAGCCUGAUGCAGCAACGCCGUGUGCGGGAUGACGGCCUUCGGGUUGUAAACCGCUUUCGCUCAUGACGAAGCUUUGUGUGACGGUAGUGGGUAAAGAAGCACCGGCUAACUACGUG